rnacentral:rRNA from 1 species
UGAGUAACCUGCCCCAGACUCUGGGAUAAGCACUGGAAACGGUGUCUAAUACCGGAUAUGAGCUUCAGCCGCAUGGCUAGGAGUUGGAAAGAAUUUCGGUUUGGGAUGGACUCUCGGCCUAACAGCUUGUUGGUGAGGUAAUGGCUCACCAAGGCGACGACGGGUAGCCGGCCUGAGAGGGUGACCGGCCACACUGGGACUGAGACACGGCCCAGACUCCUACAGGA